AUUGAACGCUGGCGGCAUGCUUUACACAUGCAAGUCGAACGGUAGCGCGGGCUCCGGCUUGGCGGCGAGUGGCGCACGGGUGAGUAAUGCAUCGGAACGUGCCCAGCUGUGGGGGAUAGCCCGGCGAAAGCCGGAUUAAUACCGCAUACGACCUGAGGGUGAAAGCGGGGGACCGAAAGGCCUUGCGCUAUUGGAGCGGCCGAUGGCGUGUUCGCUAGGUGGUGGGGUAAAGGCUUACCAAGGCGGCGAUCCGUAGCUGGUCUGGGAGGACGACCAGCCACACGGGGAGUGGGACGCGGCCCAUACGCCUGCGGGAGGGAGCAGUGGGGAAUGUUGGACAAUGGGGGCAACCCUGAUCCAGCCAUGCGGAGUGCGGUAAAAAGGCCUUCGGGUGGUAAACCGCUUUUGUUGGGGAAGAAAUCCUCUGGGCAAAUACCCCGGGUGGAUGACGGUACCGGAAGAAUAAGCACCGGCUAACUACGUG
rnacentral:rRNA from 1 species